rnacentral:rRNA from 1 species
UUCUAGGCGUUGAGACUGGUAGGUAAAUCCGCCGGUUGAGCUGAGGUGAGAGCGAGCCGUAAGGCAUAAGUGGUUGAGCCUUGUUGCCAAGAAAAGUCUCUAAGCAUAACUUUCUAGUGCUCGUAUCGCAAACCGACACUGGUAGAUGGGUAGAGUAUACCAAGGCGAACGGGAGAACUCUCGUUAAGGAAUUAGGCAACAUGACCCCGUAACUUCGGGAGAAGGGGUACCCUCCUUUGUGUUAAAGCUUCGGAGGGUCGCAGUGAAAUGGCUCUGGUGACUGGUUAACAAAACCACAGGUCUCUGCUAAGCCGUAAGGCGAUGUAUAGGGGCUGACGCGUGCCCAGUGCCGGAAGGUUAAAGGGAGAGGUUAGCGCAAGCGAAGCUUUGAACUGAAGCCCCGGUGAACGGCGGCCGUAACUAUAACGGUCCUAAGGUAGCGAAAUUCCUUGUCGGGUAAGUUCCGACCCGCACGAACCGCGUAACAAUUAGAGCACUGUCUCGACGAGAGACCCGGUGAAAUUGAAAUGGCUGUGAAGAUGCGGCCUACCCGCAGUAGGACAAAAAGACCCCGUGGAGCUUUACUGCAACUUGGCAUUGCAUUUGGAUAUGAUCUGUGUAGGAUAGGUGGGAGGCUUUGAAGCUGGCGCGCUAGCGUCGGUGGAGCCAAUGGUGAAAUACCACCCUGAUCAUGUUUAGAUCCUAACCCCAUUCCGUCAUCCGGAUGGGGGACCGUGCCAGGUGGGCAGUUUGACUGGGGCGGUCGCCUCCUAAAAGGUAACGGAGGCGCCCAAAGGUCCCCUCAGGUGGAAUGGAAACCCACCAUAGAGUGUAAAGGCAUAAGGGAGCUUGACUGUAAGGCCAACGCGCCGAACAGAGACGAAAGUCGGGCUUAGUGAUACCACAGUACCGAGUGGAAGGGCUGUGGCUUACCGGAUAAAAGCUACCCCGGGGAUAACAGGCUGGUGAGAUCCAAGAGUUCACAUCGACGAUCUCGCUCGGCACCUCGAUGUCGGCUCAUCGCAUCCUGGGGCUGGACAAGGUCCCAAGGGUCGGGCUGUUCGCCCGUUAAAGCGGUACGCGAGCUGGGUUCAGACCGUCGUGAGACAGGUCGGUCUCUAUCCACUGUGGGCGUAAGGGAUUUGAAGGGAGCUGCUCCUAGUACGAGAGGACCGGAGUGGACAGACCUCUAGUGUGCCAGUUGUUCCGCCAGGAGCAUCGCUGGGUAGCCAUGUCUGGCAGAGAUAACCGCUGAAAGCAUCUAAGUGGGAAACUCGCCCUAAGAUUAGAUCCCUGUGACCCGUAAGGGUGUAAGACCCCAGAUAGACUAUCUGGUUAAUAGGCAGCAUGUGUAAGCGCAGUAAUGUGUUAAGCUAAGCUGUACUAAUGGUCGAGGGCUUCU